UCGAGAAUAUUCGACAAUGGGCGAAAGCCUGAUCGAGCGACGCCGCGUGCAGGAUGAAGCCCUUCGGGGUGUAAACUGCUUUUCCACCUCAAAAAGUUAUUGAUUAGGGUGGGAAUAAGGAGCGGCUAACUUCGUGCCAGCAGCAGCGGUAAUACGAAGGCUCCAAGCGUUAUCCGGAUUUAUUGGGCGUAAAGAGCGCGUAGGUGGUUUUGUGCGUCCGCUGUUAAAUCUCAGGGCUUAACCUUGAGGCUGCAGUGGAAACGGCAGAACUAGAGAGUGCUAGAGGUUACUGGAACAUACGGUGUAGGGGUGAAAUCCGUUGAUAUCGUAUGGAACACCAAAGGCGAAGGCAUGUAACUGGAGCAUUUCUGACACUCAUUGCGCGAAAGCGUGGGGAGCAAAAAGG
rnacentral:rRNA from 1 species